GGGCUGCGAGGUAAAAAAUACUUAAUACCAUUAUGGCAAAUAUUAAGUCACAGGGCUACGUCUAUCUGGGUCAGGGUCAGGGUCAAAGGUUAGAGUUAGUCACAGGGUUACGUCUAUCUGGGUCAGGGUCAGGGUCAAAGGUUAAUCACAGGGUUACGUCUAUCUGGGUUAGGGUUAGGGUCAAAGGUUAGGAUUAGGGUUCAAAGGUUAGGGUUAGUCACAGGGUUACGUCUAUCUGGGUUAGGGUCAGGGUUCAAAGGUUAGAGUUAGUCACAGGGUUACGUCUAUCUGGGUUAGGAUCAGGGUCAAAGGUUAGGGUUAGGGUUCAAAGGUGUUU
ensembl:lncRNA